UACGUAGGGUGCAAGCGUUAUCCGGAAUUAUUGGGCGUAAAGAGCUCGUAGGCGGUUUGUCGCGUCUGCUGUGAAAACUGGAGGCUCAACCUCCAGCCUGCAGUGGGUACGGGCAAACUAGAGUGCGGUAGGGGAGAUUGGAAUUCCUGGUGUAGCGGUGGAAUGCGCAGAUAUCAGGAGGAACACCGGUGGCGAAGGCGGGUCUCUGGGCCGUUACUGACGCUGAGGAGCGAAAGCAUGGGGAGCGAACAGG
rnacentral:rRNA from 1 species